rnacentral:rRNA from 1 species
AUUGAACGCUGGCGGCAGGCCUAACACAUGCAAGUCGAGCGGCAGCGGGAAGUAGCUUGCUACUUUACCGGCGAGCGGCGGACGGGUGAGUAAUGUCUGGGAAACUGCCUGAUGGAGGGGGAUAACUACUGGAAACGGUAGCUAAUACCGCAUAACGUCGCAAGACCAAAGAGGGGGACCUUCGGGCCUCUUGCCAUCAGAUGUGCCCGGAUGGGAUUAGCUAGUAGGUGGGGUAACGGCUCACCUAGGCGACGAUCCCUAGCUGGUCUGAGAGGAUGACGAGCCACACUGGAACUGAGACACGGUCCAGACUCCUACGGGAGGCAGCAGUGGGGAAUAUUGCACAAUGGGCGCAAGCCUGAUGCAGCCAUGCCGCGUGUAUGAAGAAGGCCUUCGGGUUGUAAAGUACUUUCAGCGAGGAGGAAGGCGGUGAGGUUAAUAACCUCACCGAUUGACGUUACUCGCAGAAGAAGCACCGGCUAACUCCGUGCCAGCCGCCGCCGUAA